rnacentral:rRNA from 1 species
AUUGAACGCUGGCGGCAGGCCUAACACAUGCAAGUCGAACGGUAGCACAGAGGAGCUUGCUCCUUGGGUGACGAGUGGCGGACGGGUGAGUAAUGUCUGGGAAACUGCCCGAUGGAGGGGGAUAACUACUGGAAACGGUAGCUAAUACCGCAUAACGUCGCAAGACCAAAGAGGGGGACCUUCGGGCCUCUUGCCAUCGGAUGUGCCCAGAUGGGAUUAGCUAGUAGGUGGGGUAACGGCUCACCUAGGCGACGAUCCCUAGCUGGUCUGAGAGGAUGACCAGCCACACUGGAACUGAGACACGGUCCAGACUCCUACGGGAGGCAGCAGUGGGGAAUAUUGCACAAUGGGCGCAAGCCUGAUGCAGCCAUGCCGCGUGUAUGAAGAAGGCCUUCGGGUUGUAAAGUACUUUCAGCGAGGAGGAAGGUGUUGAGGUUAAUAACCUCAGCAAUUGACGUUACUCGCAGAAGAAGCACCGGCUAACUCCGUGCCAGCAGCCGCGGUAAUACGGAGGGUGCAAGCGUUAAUCGGAAUUACUGGGCGUAAAGCGCACGCAGGCGGUCUGUCAAGUCGGAUGUGAAAUCCCCGGGCUCAACCUGGGAAC